rnacentral:rRNA from 1 species
UACAGAGGUCUCAAGCGUUGUUCGGAUUCAUUGGGCGUAAAGGGUGCGUAGGCGGCGCGGUAAGUCGGGUGUGAAAGUCUCGGAGCUUAACUCCGAAACUGCAUUCGAUACUGCCGUGCUUGAGGACUGGAGGAGGAGACGAUGGAAUUUACGGUGGUAAGCGGUGAAAUGCGUAGGAUAAUCAGGAGGAACACCUAUUGCGAAGGCAGACUCGCUGGG